rnacentral:rRNA from 1 species
GCGCCAGCGAUGGCCGCUUGCGAGGUGCUGCAUGGUUGUCGUCAGCUCGUGCCGUGAGGUGUCGGGUUAAGUCCCAUAACGAGCGCAACCCCUACUGCUAGUUGCCAGCGGGUCAUGCCGGGGACGUCUAGCGGAACUGCCAGCGUAAGCUGCGAGGAAGGUGGGGAUGACGUCAAUCAGCACGGCCCUUACGUCCAGGGCUACACACGUGUUACAAUGGCCGGUACAGAGGGCAGCCACCCCGUGAGGGGGCGCGAAUCCCGAAAGCCGGUCCCAGUUCGGAUCGGAGUCUGCAACCCGACUCCGUGAAGCUGGAUUCGCUAGUAAUCGCGCAUCAGCCACGGCGCGGUGAAUACGUUCCCGGGCCUU